CCUACGGGGGGCAGCAGUGAGGAAUAUUGGUCAAUGGCCGGAAGGCUGAACCAGCCAAGCCGCGUGAAGGACGAAGGUGCCAAGCAUUGUAAACUUCUUUUGUCAAGGGACAAAAUCAGGCUCGAGAGCCUGACCGAGGGUACUUGAAGAAAAAGCAUCGGCUAACUCCGUGGCAGCAGCCGCGGUAAUACGGAGGAUGCCAGCGUUAUCCGGAUUUAUUGGGUUUAAAGGGUUCGUAGGCGGACUGUUAAGUCAGCGGUAAAAGCCCGGGGCUCAACCCCGGCGAGCCGUUGAAACUGGCUGUCUUGAGAUUUCGAGAGGUAUGCGGAAUGCGCAGUGUAGCGGUGAAAUGCUUAGAUAUACGGAGGAACACCAGUGGCGAAGGCGGAUUGCUGGACAGUAACUGACGCUGAGGCGCGAAAGCGUGGGGAGCAAACAGGAUUAGAUACCCUGGUAGUC
rnacentral:rRNA from 1 species